rnacentral:lncRNA from 1 species
AUGACAGUAGAUCUUACUCCCACUGAGACACAGAUCUGUCAUCUUUCUCCUCACCUUCACAUUCUUUCCUCUUCUCCACAGUCCCUCAAGCCACUGAUCAAAAAGCAUUGCCAUGCCUGGAUCAAUGCCAGCCUGGAGCAGUUGAGAAGGCUUCUUCAGCAGACCCCAGAGCAGCAGAAUACCAGAGCCUUGUCAUGCCUAGAGAAGGCUGAGAUCUUGGAAAUGACCAUACAGCAGUUAGCAAGGCUGAAGAAGCCAGAUGCUGGAGACCUCUCCAACUGCACCCCAGAUGUGGAGGCCCUGGUGAGCUAUCACCUAAAGAAGAGGACUCUAACCGUAUUGGGGUUUUCUAUGGGACAGCUCAGAGUGUGGAAGUGGGGACAGAGCCUGCUCUCAGCUCUGUGCUUCCCUGAAGGCUGGAGCAUGCGAGAACUCCAAAUUUUAAGGGGCCAGAUUCUACAUCCUAUUUUCAGGGCAGGAGAAUCGGUACUCAGUGAUGUGUCUAUCCCUCUAUUAGUGCCCAGAUGUACAACAUGGGAAUACAGAGCAAGAUCCUAGCACAGCAUGUGCAAGUGGUAGAUUUAAGUCAUGCAUCAUUUCCUUUGUUCUGUUCCAAAUACAUUUAUGAAAGGGUUUACAUAACAGUGUUUGCUGUGGCAGGGAACUGCCUCAAGAACCCAGGAGAUCUUUUCUAGUCCUGUGUUUCUAAUGACUGCCCUUCUAACUAAUGCUUUCUAAGUUUCACCUAAUACUCAAGAAGUAAGAAAAGACCAUUAUUUCUCUGCAACUGAGGCUGUUAUUAAUAAGAAAAUAGCAGAGAUAUUCCCUGGAUUAUGCAGAGAUUGUGCAGACCCCAGAGGCCCACUCAGGGCUGCACAGGAUGACCAGGAAGCAAUGAACACCAACAAAUCCCCUUGGAGUGCAUUGUGAAACGACAGCAAUUAAAGGGU